rnacentral:piRNA from 1 species
UCUCAAAUGAGCCUCCUUUAAGAGGCCUG